CCUACGGGUGGCAGCAGUGAGGAAUAUUGGUCAAUGGGCGCGAGCCUGAACCAGCCAAGUAGCGUGAAGGAUGACUGCCCUACGGGUUGUAAACUUCUUUUAUAAAGGAAUAAAGUGAGGCACGUGUGCCUUUUUGUAUGUACUUUAUGAAUAAGGAUCGGCUAACUCCGUGCCAGCAGCCGCGGUAAUACGGAGGGUCCGAGCGUUAUCCGGAUUUAUUGGGUUUAAAGGGAGCGUAGAUGGGUUGUUAAGUCAGUUGUGAAAGUUUGCGGCUCAACCGUAAAAUUGCAAUUGAUACUGGCAGUCUUGAGUACAGUAGAGGUAGGCGGAAUUCGAGGUGUAGCGGUGAAAUGCUUAGAGAUCACGAAGAACACCGAUUGCGAAGGCAGCUUACUAAACUGCCACUGACGUUGAUGCGCGAAAGUGUGGGUAGCAAACAGGAUUAGAUACCCUUGUAGUC
rnacentral:rRNA from 1 species